rnacentral:rRNA from 1 species
UACGGGGGGAGCAAGCGUUGUUCGGAUUUACUGGGCGUAAAGGGCGCGUAGGCGGCCUGUGCAAGUCAGUUGUGAAAUCUCCGGGCUUAACUCGGAAAGGUCAACUGAUACUGCUCGGCUAGAGUGCGGAAGGGGCAACUGGAAUUCUUGGUGUAGCGGUGAAAUGCGUAGAUAUCAAGAGGAACACCUGAGGUGAAGACGGGUUGCUGGGCUGACACUGACGCUGAGGCGCGAAAGCUGGGGUAGCAAACGGG